AAGUUAGCUGAGACAAGACUGAUUGAUUUUAUUUAUUUUUAUACUGGUGGCAAGGAGACUUUGGAGAUGAACAAAUAACAUCUUGAACUCCCUAUACAUUUCCAUGCUAAUGGAUGAGGAUUGUGAGGCAGAAGGAAUAAACAAUCUUUGCAGUUGAAAAUACAGUGCAUUUUCACUCUGUUGCCAUAUGAUUAUGGGCUUGCAUGAAUCAGUAUCAUUCACAGGUAUGGUUGACGUUCAGUCACUCAUCUGAAGCUAUGAUGCUUCAUAGGAUAAAUUCAGUGUGCCAGACAUGAAUCAGAGCGAUCAGGAGACCCAACAUUUCACUCCAGAAAUUCUAAAGCUGAUGAGAAGCAGUUUUCGUUGAGUCAGCUGUCUGCAGAAGCUGUGUCUGUAUAGAGGUACUAAACAUUUUUUAUGGUUUUAAAAAUAUGUUUUAAUAUCUGCUGCCAUCUUGAAUUUUGUUAGGAAAAGAUGGGCUUUCAGAGUUGUGCAAGAAGCAUUCCUUCUGUCUCUGGGAACCUGAAAACUAUUUAUGUGCUAUGUUUUCUGUUAUUAGGAAUCCAGUUAACUUCAGAUUCAUGAAACAUAUGUUAUGCUUUUGAUGUUUCUUGCCUAAAUCCACCAUGAACACACAGAAUAGAGAACAUGUCCUUGUUGUUUGAUCUAACAUGAGUCUGUACUGAUGAUUAUUUCAUGCCAGCAUAUCCCUUUGUGUGUGCUGAGUUUGAAA
ensembl:lncRNA